GACGUAGGAGGCGAGCGUUGUCCGGAUUCAUUGGGCGUAAAGAGCACGCAGGCGGUUUGGCAAGUCGGAUGUGAAAACCCGAAGCUCAACUUCGGGCCUGCAUCCGAAACUGCCCGACUAGAGGUAGGUAGGGGAGGUCGGAAUUCCUGGUGUAGCGGUGAAAUGCGCAGAUAUCAGGAGGAACACCGGUGGCGAAGGCGGAUCUCUGGGCCUUACCUGACGCUCAGGUGCGAAAGCUAGGGGAGCGAACAGG
rnacentral:rRNA from 1 species